UACAGAGGUCUCAAGCGUUGUUCGGAUUCAUUGGGCGUAAAGGGUGCGUAGGUGGCGCCGUAAGUCGGGUGUGAAAUUUCGGAGCUUAACUCCGAAACUGCAUUCGAUACUGUCCGACUCGAAGGCAGGAGAGGGAAGCGGAAUUCCCGGUGUAGUGGUGAAAUGCGUAGAUAUCGGGAGGAACACCAGUGGCGAAGGCGGCUUUCUGGC
rnacentral:rRNA from 1 species